rnacentral:rRNA from 1 species
UACGGAGGGUGCAAGCAUUAUCCGGAUUCACUGGGUUUAAAGGGUGCGUAGGCGGGUUGGUAAGUCCGUGGUGAAAUCCCCAAGCUUAACUUGGGAACUGCCGUGGAUACUAUCAAUCUUGAAUAUCGUGGAGGUAAGCGGAAUAUGUCAUGUAGCGGUGAAAUGCUUAGAUAUGACAUAGAACACCAAUUGCGAAGGCAGCUUACUACACAAAUAUUGACGCUGAGGCACGAAAGCGUGGGGGAUCAAACAGG